AGUCAAGUAAGUAAGGGCAUACGGUGGAUGCCUAGGCGCCAAGAGCCGAAGAAGGACGCGGUAAGCUGCGAAAAGCCACGGGGAACUGCAAGCGAGUAUUGAUCCGUGGAUG
rnacentral:ncRNA from 1 species